GACGAGGGUCAAUGUUUGAGGCCAUACUCAGCUUUGACUAGGGCGGGGGUUCAAGGACAACAUGCUCCAAACUAUGGUCAAAUCCCUACUCAGCUCUCGAUCACUUAAAGGGUGGUGGUGCGUUUUUCUAUAUUUUCUAACUCUUACCCACCAUCGCCAUGAGUGCAUUUUACACAUCCACAACCUUUUUCAACCCCGUCAUAGCCGAAACUUUUGAAUCCCUCGGCUGAAAUCUGAGCCCUGAUCGGAAAUCUCGAAUCCCUGUUUCACUGUCCGUUUGUAGCCUGACAUUGGAGUGCAAAAGCCCGCUUUGAAGGUUCAAGGUUGGCUUAAAACUCCAAUUAGCCUAGUUGCCUGGCUCAAGACUCCGAAAUGUGUCCGAUGGUUGAUGUCAGCAGCCAAAAGUCGUGAUGGUAAAGCCCAGCACAACCAAACUAAAAAGGUUCAAAUAGAGGGGCGAUUCACUAGUAGAUAUCAUCCCUCGAGAGGUUCCAAAUUUUGAAUAAAACGCCUGCAAAGUGAAGUUGAACAGGGAGAAUAAAUAUCACCUUGAUCGGUGUCAAUUGUUUCUGGGGGCUGUCGUCCUGGAUGUGCAGCAGAUAUCACCGAUCACAAUCGGGAUCGCCAAAAUACUGUUGAAUAAAUCGCCGAAUAAUGAGGGGCUAGAGGACGAGAAGUGCACAUGGAAAAUCUACGAAUUGAGCCAAAACAUGAGCGGCAAGAGUGACCAAGCUAGCCAUCCAUGGAUAAGUUAGAAUAAAACACGAGUAUUCAGUAAGAUUUGAUAUUUUCCUCUCUGCUUUCAGGAAACACACCAAGACGAAAUAAAUAUAGCAAGCCAAUUCUGCGCCUGCGCUGUACCGGGUUUCGUACCUGUGAUACUUCAACAGAUAAAAUUUCCCCGAAUAGCGGAGUUCAGGCUUUGUUGAAAGCACGCGCUGCUCAAUGUUAUCUGCAAAGGAAC
rnacentral:sRNA from 1 species